rnacentral:tRNA from 2 species
CAGAGGGUGGUCUAAUUAAUGAUCUUAGCUUUGGGAGUUAAGGAUGGAAGUUAAAGCCUUUCCCUUCUGA